rnacentral:lncRNA from 1 species
ACCAACUCUCUGCAAAACCCACAUCAAUUCUCCAACAAAUACAUCAACUAGGUCAUUCUCCCCACUCCACAAUCCUCAACAAAUCACCACAAAUUUUAUUCACUCAUUUUCCUCUGCAUCGAAAUCCAGCCGAGCCAGAAUUUGAUUUCAGAGAACAGCAAGUCGUAAAAAUCUUUUCAAGGUUUUACCUUCUAACUCUGUACAAAUUCAGCAUUCAUAUUUACAAACACCACAGUAGAUUAAGCACCCAUGAAUUGAGUAUGAAAGAAAUUUUUUUAUAUACGAUGGAUAAAUGAAAUAGAAUGGAGUAGAUACAAGUAUGAGCAUGAAUUCCUAACUGCUAUUAUGUGUAUGUUAUUAUAUGAUAUUUACUGAUACACCAACAAUGAAAAAGAACGAUUUGAGAAAAGUUUGAAGCUUUGAAUCUCCUUUGUUUUCAUACGUGCUGCGUUGAGUUGGGUUGAUAGUUGUGUAUGUGUGUGAGUCGAGUGGCGUGGAGCUGCUGCUACACGUCUGGCCGGGAAAGAAGGAAGGGGGAGAGGGAGAAUAGGGGGCUGGGAUGGCGAUGGCGACUUCUGCUACUGGUCGCCGGGAAUGGAGGCAGAGAUCAGGGAUCUAGGGCUUUCGGGCGGGUCCAGAGCGGGAGAGAGGGGAUAAGGGUGUUGAGAGGGAAGCGGCUGUUGCGGCUUUGCUGCAAUCGCCGGAAACCAGAGGGAGGCAACGGAACUCUUCGCCUUUGAAGGAGGGAGGUUGCCGGAGUUUAGUGAGAGAGGAAGAGUUUAGAGGUCGGUGCGUUGUUUGAGUCAGGGAGACGAGAGGCUUGAGUGGCUCCUCGCUGGAAAUUUCAGGCGGCGGCGGCUCCUGUGUUGUGUGUGUGUGUGUGCACGUGGUUGAGUUCUGGAGAAAGAAAGAGGGCGUGCUGAGUCUUUCGAUUGGAGAGAGAGUCGAAGGGGAGCCGUUGAGGCGACGCCGGAGGAAGCCGCGGCGGCGGAUUUUUACCGGAGAAGGGGUGUUGUCUGCAUGUGUGUGUGUCGUGUGUGUGCGUGAGUGUUGUGUCUGUGAUUUUUAUGAGGGAGAAUGAUUAGGGUUGGGCUUCAUUUAUUUAUUUUUUAAAAUGAAAUGGGUUGAUUUAUUUUAUUUGAGCAUGGGCUGCCUACUUUUACUAAUUGGGCCAAAGAAUUAAGAUUUGGGUAAUUUUAAACACAGCCUUCAAUUUUCUCACUAUAAUCCCAUUAUAUAUAAAAAAAAUUAAAUAACUAUAAUUAUACUAUUCUACCCUUAUAGCCCAUUUAAAAUUUGUUUUAUAUUAAUAAGUUUAUCAAAAUUACUUUGAAAGAAUAACACAUAAUCUCUUCUCUUUAUGGAUAAAUCUCUUCUCCAUAGAUAUAGCCUCCAACUGAAAAUAUCAAGAUUGAGGAAAAUGGCAAAUUUCGUCUAACUUCAAAUAUCAGACAAAAAAAAUGAAUCACGAACCACAAUUAAUGAAUAAUAUAUUGAACCAUUUAAUUUCCUUUCUGUGCAAAUUAAUGAUAAUGAUUGAAAUAAGUGGUGACAUUUGCAAAAAUCAAAUGACAAAAGAAUUUUUUUCGUUUCUUGUCUGUGCAAAACUCUUGGAAUUCGUACACUACAAACAGAAACAUUGUAGCUCAUUGGGGAUUCGAAUUCGUGCAACAGCUUAUUAUCAUACCCCGACUCAUUGUCGUUGAAAUCAGUGGAUUUUGGAGUCGUCAGGCAUGACAUUGGUCGGAAGUUUGGGGAAUCUGAAGACCAUCGGAGAUCCCAGUCACUAAGAAGCGCGUCGAUUUCCUUUCAAAUAAAGCAGAAUGAUUUUGUUUUUGAACGUAAUUUUUUAUUUUUUGAACUCACCAGUAUGAUAUUUGAAGUUCAUAGGCACAAUAUGUCAAUCUUCCUUAAUCUCGGUCUAUCUUCUUAAGAUUUUGAAUUGGGG